CAUUAUUAGUUAAUCUACGAUAGUUUUUCAAACCAUCGUUGGUUGAGACUCACAUUCAACCCUUCAUAUUCUUAAUCUUCUUUCUCAUAACUUUGUGCCUUUUCUCUCUCUCAUAAUGGCCAAAAUAACUACCUCCUCUCUCGCUCAAUCUCCGUCAGGUUCCUCUGCCACUACUCCUAAAGCCUUGCCGUCGCACCCAAAGCCUCUCUUCCAACCACCUCCUCUGCUUCCCCACCCCUUCCUCCUCCUCCUCCUCCAGCCCCACCACUUCCUCUGGCCUCGUUGUAGUCUGCGACGGACCUGCGGACGCCUACCAAUCUUGGCCCCAACAGCCACGGAUCUGUUGUCGCCGUUGCAUUCGUUGUUGCGGCCGCCUUGAUGAUGAUCUUGAAGGGGUUGGAUUCGUUGGAAGGAGGGUACAAGAGCCGCAACCCUUUCUCUUGGAUCAAAGAAGCUGGAGGAAAUUAAUGAGGAGGAUGUGAGACUAAUGGAAGCAUUCAUAUCGAAGCAGCAAAAAAACACUUGCAAACCUCAUUGUCCAAAGAAUAAAAGAAAAGGCUGCUUUUGUUGCUUCAGACAAUAUUUGACUGCGUUUUAUUUUCCUCUUGGUUUCGUUAUUUUUAAUUUUGGGGUUUUGAGUGUUUUUAGCAUGUUGUUCAGCCUGCUUGGAGAUUUUAUAUCUCACUCUUGUGUUUGUGAUAUUUUUGUGUGCAGAAAAUCGACCCGUUCCAAAAUUGGAUAAAUCCAUGAUUGAAAUAUACAAGACGUAUGUAUAACUUCCAUUUCAAUUCUAUUAUAAAUGUGCGAGAGUGUACACAUGCACGGGAAACUACGGUAGUCAUAUCUUAAUUCCUCCAUUCGAAUUAUGACUUGAAUGGCUGUUAGAAGAGUAUGUUAAAGGACUGAGGAGCCUUAAAUGAUUCACACGAAAGAUGAAAGAUUAAUCGGUCUAAAGGAUCAAAAUUUGUUUAACGUCACAGGAUUUUAUAAAAAAAACCAAAAACCUUAAUUAUGAUCCUUACCAAAGAAGAGCAUGCCAAAAUUUUCUUAGUGAUGUGCAGUACGUCCUCCCCAAGCAGGUGUAAGGUAUGUGUGGAAGUUGAUUUUGUAGUCUACCAAUUGUUCUUCACUGCUGUUUCCCUCAUUUUCUUGUUGUUUAUGUAAGGUAUGUGCGGCAGGUUUCAUUUUCUUGUUGUUUAUGUAAGGUAUGUGCGGCAGGUUUCAUUUUCUUGUCGCACACUUUUGUUCUUUACAGCUGUUCUCAAGGUCGUAUCUAGAUUUUUUAAGACUUUAACCAAAAUUUAUAUUUGUAACUAAUUUAAUACUAUAAUUUAACAAAUUUUAUUUAAUUUUUUAUGACUGGAAAAUUAUUAAUCAAAAUUUUAUAAUUAAGUAUUUCUAAUAAUUUGAUCCCUUCUCAUACCCAA